AACCCACCAGGGAUUGCCCUAGUAACGGCGAGUGAAGCGGCAACAGCUCAAAUUUGAAAUCUGGCCUCGGCCCGAGUUGUAAUUUGCAGAGGAUGCUUCUGGCGCGGUGCCUUCCGAGUUCCCUGGAACGGGACGCCACAGAGGGUGAGAGCCCCGUAUGGUCGGACACCAAGCCUGUGUGAAGCUCCUUCGACGAGUCGAGUAGUUUGGGAAUGCUGCUCUAAAUGGGAGGUAAAUCUCUUCUAAAGCUAAAUACCGGCCAGAGACCGAUAGCGCACAAGUAGAGUGAUCGAAAGAUGAAAAGCACCUUGAAAAGGGGGUUAAAUAGUACGUGAAAUUGUUGAAAGGGAAGCACUUAUGACCAGACUUGGGCCGGGCGGCUCAUCAGGGGUUCUCCCCUGUGCACUCCGCCCGGCACAGGCCAGCAUCGGUUUUCGCGGGGGGAUAAGACCGACGGGAACGUAGCACCCUCCGGGGUGUGUUAUAGCCCGGCGGACGAUACCCUCGCGGGGACCGAGGACCGCGCUUCGGCAAGGAUGCUGGCGUAAUGGUCAUCAGUGAC
rnacentral:rRNA from 1 species